GAAAGUGCUAUUUGUUUGGAAAAAAAUGUAGUAUAAUCACGAAUUUAGAUUGCUAAUCAGACAAAACACAACACCUUUGACUGAAGUGAAGGGGCUCCUGUUGGGAUCAUGGAAAUUAUGUUGGUGUUAUUGAAGCAAUUUGUAGACUGUGUAGAGAAAAACUAUUUGGAAAUAACAGUAUUGAGCAUGUUGAGGAGGAGAACACUAUUGAGACAAAUACAAAGAACAAGAUUGCAGAAGCUGAAAUACUACCACCUUAAAGAAAGAGGGCACUUGAUAAAGUACCCGGGAAGCGUUACAGGGUGAAGGUUGUUGACACAAUCCUUGAUUUAGAUGUAACCAAGAAUAAAGAAACAAUAACCAAUAUUACAAGUUUUUACAACUUUAGAUUUGAGAGCAGUUAUUUGAGGAUGUGGCAGACAUACAAUAUUGAUGAAGGUAUUACUUUUAUAUUCAAUAUAAAGAA